rnacentral:rRNA from 1 species
UGCAAGUCGAACGGUAACAGGUCUUCGGAUGCUGACGAGUGGCGAACGGGUGAGUAAUACAUCGGAACGUGCCCGAUCGUGGGGGAUAACGAGGCGAAAGCUUUGCUAAUACCGCAUACGAUCUACGGAUGAAAGCGGGGGAUCUUCGGACCUCGCGCGGACGGAGCGGCCGAUGGCAGAUUAGGUAGUUGGUGGGAUAAAAGCUUACCAAGCCGACGAUCUGUAGCUGGUCUGAGAGGAUGAUCAGCCACACUGGGACUGAGACACGGCCCAGACUCCUACGGGAGGCAGCAGUGGGGAAUUUUGGACAAUGGGCGAAAGCCUGAUCCAGCCAUGCCGCGUGCAGGAUGAAGGCCUUCGGGUUGUAAACUGCUUUUGUACGGNACGAAAAGCCUCUUUCUAAUAAAGAGGGGUCAUGACGGUACCGUAAGAAUAAGCACCGGCUAACUACGUGCCAGCAGCCGCGGUAAUACGUAGGGNGCAAGCGUUAA